rnacentral:lncRNA from 1 species
UCCCCUCCCCAGAGCUGUGAUGCAGUCCACAGGACAGACACUUUUGGACUCUCAAGACCAGAAGCGUCCUCUCUGGGACUAUCCUGGCAGGAGUUCUGGUUCCAGAGAAGGCAGUGUUCCUGCCAGGAGCCACAACAAAUAUUGCAUUGAACUGGAAACUUGGACGUCCCCUGAUAAAUUUGGGCUUCUAAUGCCCUUAAACCAACAGGUUCCGAAAGAACAACAGUGUGGAGAAAUUGAUCCAGAUUACCAUGGGAAAUUGGAUUGCUUCUACAAUGGAGAGCACACUUCUUCAGGAUUCCAGCAUAUACUGAAGACCAGCCAAGACAUGCAGAUUCAUGGACUGAACAACUACUGAAUUCUUUGAUCUGUUCAUAGGCAGCCUUUAUUGGAUUAGCUUGACCAUAGCCUGUAAGUCAUUCUAAU